rnacentral:lncRNA from 1 species
CUCACUGCCCCAAAUGGGCAGGAAAGCAGGGAACAGCCUGUCACAGCAACUGGCUAGAGCCCCUCAUGGCUUCAGGUCCUAGUUGCAGGGGACUCCAGGGAAGUGUGAUCUCUCUACACCAGGUGGAAUAGACACCCUGUGCCUACAUCUCACUAGGCUUCAAGUUGAACCAAGCCAAAUAAGCAAAAUGGGAGUGAAGAGCUCAUUUCCACACCAGUGUCAUCCCCUGAAGCCCUUGCAGAGGCCAGCAUCCAGGGAGCUGUCAACUGCCCCCGCUUAGUGAGUUGUAUGUGGGGUGACCAUGAUGUGGGCAGCACUGAAGGCAUGGAGUGACCACCUGUAUCUUUCCUGUAGGCAAGGGCCACAGGGUAUCUGGCCA